GAGACUUUUUAUUUGAUGCUUGCAUCUUUUAAAAAGUUGAGUGGCGAACGGGUGAGUAACACGUGGGUAACCUGCCUUAAAGUGGGGGAUGACACUUGGAAACAGGUGCUAAUACCGCAUAACCAUCAAAACCGCCUGGUUUUGAUGUUAAAGAUGGUUCUGCUAUCGCUUUAAGAUGGACCCGCGGCGUAUUAGCUAGUUGGUGAGGUAAUGGCUUACCAAGGCAAUGAUACGUAGCCGAACUGAGAGGUUGAUCGGCCACAUUGGGACUGAGACACGGCCCAAACUCCUACGGGAGGCAGCAGUAGGGAAUCUUCCACAAUGGACGAAAGUCUGAUGGAGCAACGCCGCGUGAGUGAAGAAGGUUUUCGGAUCGUAAAACUCUGUUGUCAGAGAAGAACGUGUGUGAGAGUAACUGUUCACGCAGUGACGGUAUCUGACCAGAAAGUCACGGCUAACUACGUGCCAGCAGCCGCGGUAAUACGUAGGUGGCAAGCGUUGUCCGGAUUUAUUGGGCGUAAAGGGAACGCAGGCGGUCUUUUAAGUCUGAUGUGAAAGCCUUCGGCUUAACCGAAGUCGGGCAUUGGAAACUGGGAGACUUGAGUGCAGAAGAGGAGAGUGGAACUCCAUGUGUAGCGGUGAAAUGCGUAGAUAUAUGGAAGAACACCAGUGGCGAAAGCGGCUCUCUGGUCUG
rnacentral:rRNA from 1 species